UACGUAGGGGGCAAGCGUUGUCCGGAUUUAUUGGGCGUAAAGAGCGUGUAGGCGGUUAGGUAGGUCCGUUGUGAAAACUCGAGGCUCAACCUCGAGAUGCCGAUGGAAACCAUUUGGCUAGAGUCCGGAAGAGGAGAGUGGAAUUCCCGGUGUAGCGGUGAAAUGCGCAGAUAUCGGGAAGAACACCCGUGGCUAAGGCGGCUCUCUAGUACGGUACUGACGCCGAGACGCGAAAGCGUGGGGAGCGAACAGG
rnacentral:rRNA from 1 species